rnacentral:rRNA from 1 species
AGAGUUUGAUCAUGGCUCAGGAUGAACGUUGGCGGCGUGCCUAAUACAUGCAAGUCGAACGAAGAGCUCUUAGUAGCAAUACUCGGAAUACUCCUAGUGGCGAACGGGUGAGUAACGCGUUGGUGACCUGCCCCAAAGAGAGGGAUAACAGUUCGAAAGAACUGCUAAUACCUCAUGUGAUCGUUUGGAUUAGAACCCUUAUGAUUAAAGGAGCUUGCUCCACUUUGGGAGGGGCCUGCGUCCCAUCAGCUAGUUGGUAGGGUAAUGGCCUACCAAGGCUAUGACGGGUAGGGGACCUGAGAGGGUGGCCCCCCACAAUGGAACUGAAACACGGUCCAUACACCUACGGGUGGCAGCAGUAGGGAAUAUUGGUAAUCUGCGAAAGCGGGAACCAGCAACGCCGCGUGCGCGAUGACGGCCUUCGGGUUGUAAAGCGCUUUUCAAGAGGAAGAGGAAGGACUGUACUCUUGGAAUAAGUCUCGGCUAACUACGUGCCAGCAGCCGCGGUAAUACGUAGGAGGCUAACGUUAUCCGGAUUUACUGGGCGUAAAGCGCGUGCAGGCUGUUCGGUAAGUUGGGGCGUGAAA